UAUUAAUCACAUCGCCUUCCAGCUGAGCGGCAUUCUUCGAUGCGUAGUAUUUUUCGAAAGGAAGAUUCUUCAUCGCCUCCAGUACCAGUUUGUCCAGCAAAUCAUUCUUUGUUCCCUAUUCCUAGCAUAAUCUGUAGAUCUUGCAGCUGGUUUUCUUCAAGCACGCGUUGUGUUGCUCGUCUUGAACAAGUUUUGCUGUGGAUCCGUGAUCGAAAUCUAGUGAAGUGCUCAAACAAAAGCGCCUUAAGCCUCAAGUGCAGCUGACUGCGAAAUGAUGGAGCUUGACAAUUAUGAUUACGAUUAUGAAGGUGAAUGCUUUAAAAGAUGGAACUUGGCUUUUGUUGUCGGCAGUUCUUGUGGCCCGUUGCACGUGCAACUGAAAAGGAAGUUAAGGUUACUGAUUCUCGAGAUGUGGCAAUUGCGAACACAUUUGUAUGCCUCAUUUGGCUUAAUAAAUUCGUAAUUAAUUAGAAUCAAAA